CACUUGAACCUGGGAGGCAAAGGUUUCAGUGAGCUCAGAUUGUGCCAUUGCACUCUAGCCUGGGCAACAAGAGCGAAACUCCAUCUCAAAAAAAAAAAAAAAAAAAAAAAACUGGAAAAUUCCCAGAUAUUUAGAAAUUAAGAAAUGCUUUUAGAUAAUUAAUGAGCCAAAGAAGACUAGAAAUUAAAAAACAUGCCUGGGCGCAGUGGCUGACACCUGUAAUCCCAGCACUUUGGUAGGCUGAGGCGGGCAGAACACGAGUUCAAGAGAUCAGGACCAUCCUGGCCAACAUGGUGAAAUCCCCUCUCUACUAAAAAUUAGCUGGGCGUGGUGGCACACAUCUGUAGUCCCAGCUGCUUGGGAGGGUGAGGCAGGAUAAGUGCUUGAACCUGGGAGGCGGAGGUUGCAGUGAGCCGAGAUCGCGCCACUGCACUCCAGCCUGGCGACAGAGCAAGACUCCAUCUCAAAAAAAAAAAAAAAAAAAAGAAAUUAGAAAAUAUUUUGAGCUGAAUUAUUUGCAACCCGUAUGAAAUAAUGGAUCUAGGCAAAGAUUAUCAAAUGCCACUAGCAUCUCAAAAAGAAACACCUGGGAUAUUGUGUGCCUUUUCAUACCACCUAUGAAAAUACCCUUGUCAGAAAACCAUGCUGGUUCUAAAUGUGCUUCAAUUUAUCAGUUUACAGAAAACACAAGGGACAGAGGCACAUGGUAAACACCACCACAGGGAUGGAAGCAACCACAUCUAGACCAUGAGAAACUUCACAGGAUAAAUGACAGAUCAAUUACAAGGAAUAAUAGGAGAGGAGGGCAUGGAGGGUGAAGAUUAAGAGAUUUAAGAAAUAUGUGAAUGAAAUGCAUCCUGAUUCUGAGAAAUUACAACUUUUAUGAGGUAGCAGUUUGAACACUGAAGAUUUGAUGAUGUUGAGGAUUUUCAACUUUAAGGUGUGAAAUAGUGAUAUUGUCUUUAUUUUUUGAAAGGUCAUUUUAUUUACAGUUAAAUCCUGAAAUAAGGCUGGGCGCGCUGGCUCAUGCCUGUAAUCCCAGCACUUUGGGAGGCCGAGGCGGGUGGGCCACGAGGUCAGGAGAUUGAGACCAUUCUGGCUAACACAGUGAAACCCUGUCUCUACUAAAAAUACAAAAAAUUAGCGGGUGUGGUGGCACAUGCCUGUAGCCCCAGCUACUUGGGAGGCUGAGGCAGCAGAAUUGCUUGAACCUGGGAGGUGGAGGUUGCAGUCAGCCGAGAUCACACCACUGCACUCCAGCCUGGGUGACACAGCGAGACUCCAUCUCAAAACAGACAAACAAAAAAAAGCUGAAAUAAGUAUUGAUGCAAGGAUAUUGUGUCUGGAAUUUGCUUCAAAAUAAUCCAGCAUUGGUCUAAAGGAAAUAAUAUUAACAAUGAGCUGAUAAAUGUUGAAAUUGGCUAGUGAGUACAUGGGGUUUCAUGAUACUAUUCUCUCUACUUUUGAAGAUAUUGAAAGGCUAAAGAAGUAUUUAGAGGGAAAUUUAUGGCCUUAAUGAAAAAUGUAUAUAGUCAAAAAAAAGAAAAAAAGAGCCAAAGAUGAAUGGCCACUAUGCACCCACUAGAUUAACAUUGAAAGGAUUGAAAAUAUAAAGUAUUGGCUGGGCGUGGCGGCUCACACCUACAAUCCCAGAACUUUGGGAGGUGGAGGCAGGUGGAUCACUUGAGGUCAGGAGUUUGAGACAAGCCUGACCAACAUGGUGAAACCUCAUCUCUAUUAAAAAUACAAAAAUUAGCCAGGCGUGGUGGCGCACGCCUGUAAUCCCAGCUACUUGGGAGGCUGAGGUGGGAGAAUCACCUGAACCCGGGAGGUGGACGUUGCAGUGAGCUGAGAUGGCACUACUGCAUUCCAGCCUAAGCAACAGAGAGAAACUCCAUCUCAAAAAAAAAAAAAAAAAAAGAAAAAGGAAAAGAAAAGAAAUAUAAAGUAUUAAUAAGAACAUGAAGCAACUUAUAAACUACUAUGGGAGUAUAAAUUAGUUUAACUACUUUUGAAAGCUUCUUGGCGUUAUCUGGUACAGUUGAAGUUAUGCAUGUUCCGUCCCUCAGCAAUUCCACAGUAAGUUACAAACUUAGAGAAAUACAAGUCCAUGUGUCUCAGGGUACAUGUACAAGAAUGUUCAUAACAGCAUACAUAAUUUGCAGCGGCCCAAAACAGUCCACAUACCGUCACAAUAGAAUGGUUAUUUGCAGUAUGUACAUGCCGAAUUCUACACGCCAAUGAAAUUUAAAGAACUACAGUUACAUGCAAUGAAUGAAUCUGAAGUAUAAUGUGCAAAAGAAGCCAAAAAAAGAAUACCUAGGACACCGAAAAACACAAUCCAUUAAAGAAAAAAAAUGAUAAAUUGAAUUCCAUUAAAAAAAAAACUGCUCUUUGAAAGACACCACUAAAAAAUGAAAAGUUUGGCCACAGGGUGGGAGAUAUACAUAUUUACAAUAUGUAUAUCUGACAAAGGACUGGUGUCCAGAUACGUAAGGAACUCUUUCAACUUGAUAGUAUAAACAAUCUAAUUUUUAAAAAUGGUUAGGAGAUUUGAACAGACACUUUACCAAAGAAGAUAUACGGAUGACCACUAAUACGUGAAAAGAUGUUUAGUAUCAUUAGUAAGGAAAUACAAAUUACAACUGCAGUGAGAUACUGUUUCCCACAAUUAGAAUGGAAAAGACUAAAAAGUGGCCAUAUUAAGUGUUGAUCAGGACAUGGAGAAAUGUGUACUCUCAUGUAUCGCUGAUGGCAGUGUAAGAGAGUAAACCACAUUGAAAAGCAGUGCUCUGGCCAUUUCUUAAAAAGUUAAACAUACACUUCCCACAUCCAUCCCAGCAGGUCCACUCCUGGGUAUUUACCCAAGAGAAACAGAAGCAUAUGUUCCCCCAAAGACUUCUGCACAAAUGUCUGUAGCAGCUUGAGUCACAAAUGACCAACACUGGAAAGAACCCAGAUGUCCAUUAGCUGUUGAGUGGACACACAUGGUAUAGCCAUACAAUGGAACAGUAACUGUCCAAUAAAGGACAUACACAACAAUAUGAGUGAAUCCCAAAACCCUUUGCUGAACAAAAGAAGCCAGAUUUGAAAGAGUGCUUUCUAUAUCAUUCCACUUAUAUAAAGCUUUAGAAAAGGCAAAACUGCUGGGCGUGCCUGUACUCCCAGCAACUUGGGAGGCUGAGGCACAAGAAUCACUUGAACACGGGAGGUGGAGGUUGCAGUGAGCUAAGAUCAUUGCCACUGCACUCCAGCCUGGGGGACAAAGUGAGACUCUGUCUAAAAAAAAACAAAAAACAAAAAACAACGCAAAACUGACCUACGGUGACGGAGAGCAGAAGGGGUUGCUGGGGAUUGGGGGAGAGAUUAACUGCAAAGGGCACAGGAAAUUUCCGGGGCAAUGGAAACAUUCUGUAUCUAGUUGACACCUAGCAAACUGCACAUGAAAAUGGAUACAUUUUACUGCAUAUAAAUUAUACCUAAUCAAAUUUAAUUUUUUAAAAAACAAGUGAUAUUCAUACACCCCAAUAGCAUUAUUCAUAAUACCCCAAAGAUGGAAACAACCCAAGUGUUCAUGAACAGAUGAAUGGAUGAACAGAUGUGGUCUAUUCACACCACGGGAUAUGACUCACCCUUUAAGAGGAGGGGGAUGCUGCACACCCUGCACCGUGGAUGCACCUUGAGGGCACAAGGAAUGAAAGGGCCAGUUACAAAGGGACAGAUCCCAUGUAGAUGAGGCACCUCCUGAGCCCUGCCUGGUGGUCACACCAUCUGUCUGCAGGCCCCUGGAUGGCCCACUAAACACCUGUGCCAGCUGCUGAGUGUCAGGUGGCUCCUAUGCAGUUUCACAGUGGCAGUCACUAAGUCAUUGGAAACGCCUUGGCAGGGGGAGGGGAUGUGUUGGGGGAUUUUGAGUGGAGGAGUGUUAUCGUCUGUCCUACAUCUGAAGAGGGUCACUCGUGCUGUGGUGUGGAGGGCCAGGGUGGAAACGCGGGAGCAGCAAAGAGGCUACUGCGGUGACCUGGGUGAGACUUGAUGGUGGCUGGGACGGGGAAGCCAUGACGGAGGUGAAAGGAAGGUCUUACCUUGGGGCUCUGGGUGAUAAAUAGGAUUAUGGGGGGAGGGUGGAGGCUGAGGGGCAUGGACAGCAGGAGAGACCUGGAUAUCUCCAAGUCAGGGAAAGGGGACAAGAUGGAAGGGAAGGAAAAUCUCCUACAAGCCUACACUAACAAGAGAGUGUGGUCCCAGCAUAAAGACAGACAUAUAGACUGAUGGAACAGAAGAAAGAGAUCAGAAAUAAACCCUCAUGUGAAGACGGGCAACUGAUUCUCAACAAGGAUGCCAAGGUCAUUCAGCAGGGAAAGGACAGUCUUUUCAACAAAUAAUGCUGAGAAAACUGGAUAUCCACAUGCAGAAUGAAGCCACAUCUUGUUUCACACCACACACACACACACACACACGCACACGCGAAACUCAAAAUGGAUCACAAAACAAAAUGUGAAAGCGAACUCUACAAAGCCCUUAUUGGGGAAAAGUUUCAUGACACUGAAUUUGGCAGUGAUUUCCCAGACAUGACACCAAAAGCUCACACAACAAAAGAGAAAAUAGACAAAUUGAACUUCAUCAAGAUUAAAAACGUUUUGUGCAUCAAAGGACACUAUCAACAGAGAGAGAAGGAGACUCACACAAUGGAAGAAAACAUUUGCAAGUUUCAUUUUGGAGAAAUGAUUAAUAUCUAGAAUAUACAAAGAAUCUUACAACUCAAUGACAAAAAACCAAACAACUCAAUUAGAAAUCGGGUGUGGCCAGGCGUGGUGGUUCAUGCCUAUAAUCCCAGCACUUUGGGAGGCUGAGGUGGGUGGA
rnacentral:lncRNA from 1 species